rnacentral:rRNA from 1 species
GACGAACGCUGGCGGCGUGCUUAACACAUGCAAGUCGAACGGAAAGGCCCUGCUUUUGUGGGGUGCUCGAGUGGCGAACGGGUGAGUAACACGUGAGUAACCUGCCCUUGACUUUGGGAUAACUUCAGGAAACUGGGGCUAAUACCGGAUAGGAGCUCCUGCUGCAUGGCGGGGGUUGGAAAGUUUCGGCGGUUGGGGAUGGACUCGCGGCUUAUUAGCUUGUUGGUGGGGUAGUGGCUUACCAAGGCUUUGACGGGUAGCCGGCCUGAGAGGGUGACCGGCCACAUUGGGACUGAGAUACGGCCCAGACUCCUACGGGAGGCAGCAGUGGGGAAUAUUGCACAAUGGGCGGAAGCCUGAUGCAGCAACGCCGCGUGCGGGAUGACGGCCUUCGGGUUGUAAACCGCUUUCGCCUGUGACGAAGCGUGAGUGACGGUAAUGGGUAAAGAAGCACCGGCUAACUACGUG